GUGAGAUUUAGACACUCAAAACACUCCAUUCUUUUUUUCCAAAUAUGUGCGUUUGGUUCUCUUCGGUUUUAAAUGUUUAAAAUUAAAUGGUUAUUUGGAUAAAAUGGUUUAUUAGUUUAUCUUAUGUGUUGUGAUCAGGAAUUCAGUUGGAUUGGGUAAAAUGCUUUAUCAAUUUACGUUAUAGGGAAUUUUGUGUAUUAUGGUCUGAGUUUUAUUGCUUAUCGUUUGUUCUUUUUUCUUUGUUUGCCGGUUUCUUUUGCAGGGGAUCACUACAGUUUGGGAGUCAAAAUGACCACACUACCCUGUCAAGGGUUCAGAUAUUGCCGUCAGGUGAUAUGAGAGAGGGGGUUGGAUGGUAAUUUUGUCCGUAGGGUUUCGGACGGAUUGGGAUGGGUUAGGGACUUUGUUCAUUUAGUUUGUUUCUGAGAGAGAGAGAGAGAGAGAGAGAGAGGGGGGGGGAAGGAGGGAUGAGGAUGUCAGUGUCAACCUUUGAUUCAGUGAGUGAGAGUGUGACAGUGAAAGAGAGGGGGAUCAUCGGGAUUUCAGGGAGAGAAACACAGAGAGAAGGGUGAUGGUGAACAGGCGCGAGUAUGGACCCCUUAGUCCGUGAUUCACUCUUCAUCAUCCAUACUCUAUUGCAUGCUCAGAUAAGUGUCUUUUUCAAUUACAUUGUGUACUAAAAUCUCUGUUUUUUUAUUGUUUCUUGCAUUUAUAUCUGCGUGAAUGUGGUAAUUGAAAGCCCAAAAAAAAAUUUCCAAAUCUUUUUGUACUAUUUUGUUAGGUUAGGCAGCAUGGUUUUUGGUUUUUUUUUUUUUUUAAAUUGAUUGGGGGAUUUUCUGGGCGUCUAUUUAUUUGUUUGCCCUUUGGUUUGUUUUUCAUUCUGGGUUCCCCUCUUUCAUUUGAGAGUACAAAAAUUCCAAAGGUAAACAUCCAAUCCCUUGCUUCGCUUUUCUGUCCAUAACCAAGAAUCGGUGAAAUAAGUGUGUGGUUCUUGGAUCUGCGGUCUGAAACAAAAAAACAUGUAUAUUCUCUGUGCCAGCUAAUGUAUCUGUGAUUUCUUUGCAGGACGCUACUGCAACACUCAAGUCUGUUUGGAAAAAACUUAAGGAUCUCGGACCCAAGGGGAACGAUUUGGAGCAAGUGACUCAAAAAGUUAAACUUUGAUAUCGAAAUUAAUGGAAACCCAUUGAUAGCGUUGUAGUGGGUCUCUAUUCUUAAGACCAAUUGUGAGAAAAUGAGACACUACUUUUGAUAAACCAUAUUGAGAGUGAAGGAAUCUCCUUUUAACCUGGUCAUGUUGGAGUACAUUUCUACUAACUUGGUACAAUAUGGAAAUUCAUGGACUCUUGUACUUGCCCCUUUUUAUAUGUAUUUGUUAAUUACAUGACAAAGUUUUUGACCCGUCGCAUCGCAUGGGCAUGAAUUCUAGUAAUACCUAAGCCAGCCGAUUUUCCGAAGGUCAUCAGCAUCCAAUUCACCGAAGUCACUAAUUGUUUGCCGCUCCUGUUCCUCACGCUACCCAAGCCAGCCGAUUCGCCGAAGGCCAUCAGCAUCAACUUUAGAAUUUUUCAUACUUCUAUUAGGUCUUCAAGAACUUAGAGAAAUGGGUGGACUGCCGGCUGAAAAUACUUCCUCUGAGACCAAGCCCAAGCCAGCCGAUUCGCUGAACGCCAUCAGCAUCAACUUUAGAAUUUCUAGUUGAUGUCCUGGACCAACAAUACGUUAUACUAUCAAUGACACUUAUUAAAACUACUUCUAAUGCAUUUGACAUUCCUGCGGCAACGCUCGGGCUAAAACUGCUAGUUGCUACUAUGAAAAUACGGGCUUGUGUGCUGUAUAUUCUUAGGAUGGACGAAUACGUUAUGAGGAGUUUGCCGCAAAUGAUGAAGGCCGGGACAGAUUGGAGGAAAGCAUCAAGGCAACAUUCAUCAGAUCGGUUCAAGAGUCUCGGUUUGAAAUUAAUUAGGGAUGGAUCAUUGGAAGGUAAAACGGAUAGUACAUAACGUUGGAGGAUCGACACAAGGUACUUGUGGGGGAGAUGCAUAUCAAGGAAAGAACUCGUAUUUUAUUUUAUUUAUUUAUUUAUUUUGUUGUAA